UCGUGGCGAAUAGCUCAGUAACACGUGGCCAAACUACCCUUCGGAGCUCCAUACCCUCGGGAAACUGAGGCUAAUAGAGCAUACCACAAUCCUGCUGGAAUGAGGAUUGGGUCAAACGCUCCGGCGCCGAAGGAUGUGGCUGCGGCCGAUUAGGUAGACGGUGGGGUAACGGCCCACCGUGCCAAUAAUCGGUACGGGUCAUGAGAGCGAGAACCCGGAGACGGAAUCUGAGACAAGAUUCCGGGCCCUACGGGGCGCAGCAGGCGCGAAACCUUUACACUGCACGCCAGUGCGAUAAGGGGAUCCCAAGUGCGCAGGCAUAGAGCCUGUGCUUUUGUACACCGUAGGGAGGUGUACGAAUAAGGGCUGGGCAAGACCGGUGCCAGCCGCCGCGGUAAUACCGGCAGCCCGAGUGAUGGCCGAUUUUAUUGGGCCUAAAGCGUCCGUAGCUGGCCGCGCAAGUCCAUCGGAAAAUCCACCCGCCCAACGGGUGGGCGUCCGGUGGAAACUGCGUGGCUUGGGACCGGAAGGCUCGACGGGUACGUCCGGGGUAGGAGUGAAAUCCCGUAAUCCUGGACGGACCGCCGAUGGCGAAAGCACGUCGCGAGGACUGAUCCGACAGUGAGGGACGAAAGCAGGGUCUCGAACCGGAUUAGAUACCCGGGUAGUCCUGGCGUAAACAAUGUCUGUUAGUGUGAUCUCACUACGAGUGAGUGCUGUGCGAGGGAAGCGCUAACAGACGCUGGGAAGUACGUCCGCAAGGAUGAAACUUAAAGGAAUUGGCGGGGAGCACUACAACGGAGGAGCUGCGGUUUAUUGGACUCAACGCGGACAUCUCACAGCAUCGACUGUAGUAUUGACGAUCAGGUGAUGACU
rnacentral:rRNA from 1 species